AGCUGAUCGAGUAAUCGCUGAUGUAAGUCAGAGGAAAGUCCGGGCUCCAAAGGAUAAAGUGCCAGGUAACUCCUGGGAGUAAUGAAAAUUACUACGGAAAGUGCAACAGAAAGUAAACCGCCGUAAAGGUAAGGGUGAAAAGGUGCGGUAAGAGCGCACCGGAUAUUUGGAAACAAAUAUUGCUUUGUAAACCCCACUUGGAGCAAGACUAAAUAGAGAUUCUAUAAUGUUAUCCGCAUUGAAUCUGGGUAAGUUGCUAGAGGUUUGUGGCGACGCAAAUCCAAGAUGAAUGAUUACAUAAAACAGAACCCGGCUUAUGGGUCAGCUCAU
rnacentral:RNase_P_RNA from 1 species